GUGUCCCAGUUGUUGUUGAUUCUUCACAAAAAAAUACAGUUUUAUAUCUUUAUGUUUGAAGCCUGAAAUGUGGCAAAAGGUCGCAAAGUUCAAGGGGGCCGAAUACUUUCGCAAGGCACUGUAAUUGAAGAAUCCCUGAUGUUGACCAGUGACCGAGGAAGGGGCAUAGACUGUGUGAACGAACAGCCCCAAAAAACCUUCCGACCUGUUUCGGAAGGGAAUCAUGCGGACUACUUUACUUUACACAGGAGGCAUGUCCGAACCUAGUUCAGCUAUAAUCAAGCGGGUUAUCAAGCGGCUCUGACUACCCAGCUUACUUUCUGCAGCUUUCUCACUAUUAGAUGAAGAUCUCAUCAAAUAUGGAUGGCCUGAAGACAUUUGGUGAGAAACUCAUAUCCAUUUCUUCUUGUAACUCAAACCAUGAAAUACAUUAUUAGGAUUUGACCAUUUGAUGAGUCUGACUGUUGGUUCUAUGUAUACAUUACUUAUUAUUAUGUAGUGUUGAAAAAUAUCCACCAGGUGGCCCUAGAGCUAGGCUAAUAGUACAGUAGUCCUAUAUCAGCUAAUAGUGCUGUGGUAAUAUGCAUGUCAUUGAUUAUUUUAGUAUGGAGGUGUUAUUGCUGUUAUAAUAGUAACUGUAUCAUUUCCACAGGUUUCAUGUGGAUAAACUCUCUUCUGCCCAUGUGUACCUUAGAAUGCCUAAGGGACUGACAAUUGAGGAUAUUCCCAAGGAAGUCUUGAUUGACUGUGUACAGCUUGUGAAAAACAACAGCAUCCAAGGUAAUACAUUGAGUGGCCCGGUGAGUUUGAUUAGAAUAAUAUAAUAGUCAUGUACAAACCUCCUCCAGGAAACUUUGAUAUCCUUUUAACUCAGGAUGUAAAAUGAACAACUUCAAUGUUGUCACCAUGGGCCAACCUAAAAAAAAACAGGGGACAUGGAUGUAGGACAAAUAGGUUUCCAUCGGCACAAGGAGAUUAAGAUUGUGGCAGUAGAGAGGAAGAUGAAUGAGAUUGUGAACAGGUUGGAGGAAACAAAGGACGAGCGAUACCCUGAUCUGGCAGCAGAGAAAGAGUCGAGAGAUACGGAAGAGAGAAACGAGAAGAAGGCCCAGAUACAAGAUUUGAAAAAGAAAGAUAAAGAUGGCAUAAAAAAGAAAAGAGAGCUGGAUGAGCUCAAGAAGGAAAUGAUUCGGAUGACUUCAUGUAAAAGGACAAUAUCGGACAUACUCCACCACCUGCAAGUAAACAUUGUUGGGUUGGGCCCUCACUGUUAUACCGGACAGUGCUUUGACAUUGUAUAUAGAUCGAUAAAAUUGCUACUGUAGUUUUGGAACAGUACGUGUGCCAAUUUUACUAAAAUUUCAGGACUCUCUGAACAGCCUGGUUUCCCGACGCUUCUUGAAUUUCAGAGGAUAACAUUCCAACAGCAUUGAUCUCUUGCACUGAACAUCCUCUGCUUGACUGACAAGAGGGUAACAACAACACCCCGAUUCCUCAGAAAGCUCCUGCCAACGAUUUAGUCUUGGGACGGCUAUACCUUAUAGGCUCUAUGAUCCAGUUCAGUAUUGUUGCAUGUUGACCUAAUGAUAUGAAUUAAUAUAUGAUUUCCUGACCAGUAUGUCUAUGGGUGAAAUUAAAUGAGUAUGUACUUUUUUAAUUAUAAUUUACCUGGCCAAUGCUGCAGACGUUGUCCUGGCCAGAGACUGGAACAUGUGAAUUGUGUCCUCGU